GCGUUUGGGUAAUUGCUGUUUUCCCUAUGAAAACAGAGGAAAGUCCAUGCUCGCACGGUGCUGAAAUUGCCCGUAGUGAUCGUGCCUGGUCAAACAAUAAGCCAGGGCAUUCCGUUUAGCGGUUUGACGGCAGGUGACGCACCUAAGUCUUCGGAUAUGGUGUUCGAACCUUGAAAGUGCCACAGUGACGAAGUUUCAUCAGAAAUGGUGGAAGUGGAACGAGGUAAACCCCACGAGCGAGAAACCCAAAUAUUGGUAGGGGCACUUUUCCUGAGGAAUAACAACGAGGGACGAGGUACAUAGCUUCACCGUUAUGUGCAGAUAGAUGAUUACCACUUUUGUGUGACCCUGUAAUCACAGAAGUACAGAACAUGGCUUACAAAA
rnacentral:RNase_P_RNA from 1 species